UCCACACAGGUGCUGCAUGGCUGUCGUCAGCUCGUGUCGUGAGAUGUUGGGUUAAGUCCCGCAACGAGCGCAACCCCCAUCUUCAGUUGCCAUCAGGUUGAGCUGGGCACUCUGAAGAAACCGCCGGUGACAAGCCGGAGGAAGGCGGGGAUGACGUCAAGUCCUCAUGGCCCUUAUGGGUUGGGCUACACACGUGCUACAAUGGUGGUGACAGAGGGAAGCGAAGGCGCGAGCCCCAGCAAAUCUCAAAAAGCCAUCUCAGUUCGGAUUGCACUCUGCAACUCGAGUGCAUGAAGGUGGAAUCGCUAGUAAUCGUGGAUCAGCAUGCCACGGUGAAUACGUUCCCGGGCCUUGUACACACCGCCCGUCACACCAUGGGAGUUGGUUUUACCCGAAGCCGGUGGGCUAACCCGUAAGGGAGGCAGCCGAC
rnacentral:rRNA from 1 species